rnacentral:tRNA from 1 species
GGAAACUUAACUCAGUGGCAGAGUGCCUGCCUGGAAAGCACUAGGUCCUGAGUUCGAUUCCCAGUGCCA